GAGAAAGGAGUCAUCUAAAGUUGAAAACAGCUCCUGAGGUCGACAUUGCCAGAGAAUUAGAUACUGUUCAACCUACUGAGGUCAGGCACUAAGCCUCUUUUACUUACCACGGCACACUCAGCCCUUCAAAGUACACUUGACACAUAGUCAUGGGAAUUAUACGUACCUAGAUAUCAAAGAGAUUUCACUGGAAGAUUAAAGAGGGAACACUCAUGAUGCUCAACAGAGGAAGGGAAGAAAUCAAUAACUACUGAAACAAAUGAGUGAGGAAAAAAAAAGAACCAUUUUUGAACUUCAGACAGAAACCAUGAAUGCUGGCCUCUCCGGUAUUUCUUCUAUCAAGAAGAACAGUUUCUGA
rnacentral:lncRNA from 1 species